GAUGAAGAACGUAGCGAAAUGCGAUAAGUAAUGUGAAUUGCAGAAUUCAGUGAAUCAUCGAAUCUUUGAACGCACAUUGCGCCCCUUGGUAUUCCGGGGGGCAUGCCUGUUCGAGCGUCAUUAUCACCCCUCAUGCCCCUAGGGCGUGGUGUUGGGGAUCGGCCAAAGCCCGCGAGGGACGGCCGGCCCCUAAAUCUAGUGGCGGACCCGUCGUGGCCUCCUCUGCGAAGUAGUGAUAUUCCGCAUCGGAGAGCGAUGAGCCCCUGCCGUUAAACCCCCAACUUUCCAAGGUUGACCUCAGAUCAGGUAGGAAUACCCGCUGAACUUAAGCAUAUCAAUAAGCGGAGGA
rnacentral:misc_RNA from 1 species